CCUACGGGAGGCAGCAGUGAGGAAUAUUGGUCAAUGGACGCAAGUCUGAACCAGCCAAGUAGCGUGCAGGAUGACGGCCCUAUGGGUUGUAAACUUCUUUUAUAUGGGGAUAAAGUGGGGAACGUGUUCCCUUUUGCAGGUACCAUAUGAAUAAGGACCGGCUAAUUCCGUGCCAGCAGCCGCGGUAAUACGGAAGGUUCGGGCGUUAUCCGGAUUUAUUGGGUUUAAAGGGAGCGUAGGCCGUUUGGUAAGUGUGUUGUGAAAUGUAGUAGCUCAACUUCUAGAUUGCAGCGCGAACUGUCAGACUGGAGUGCGCACAACGUAGGCGGAAUUCAUGGUGUAGCGGUGAAAUGCUUAGAUAUCAUGAAGAACUCGGAUGGGGAAGCCAGCUUACGGGAGCGCAACUGACGCUGAAGCUGGAAGGUGCGGGUAUCGACCAGGAUUAGAUACCCUGGUAGUCCGCACAGUAAACGAUGGAUGCCCGCUGUUAGCACCUAGUGUUAGCGCCCAAGCGAACGCAUUCAGCACUCCACCU
rnacentral:rRNA from 1 species